rnacentral:tRNA from 1 species
GGGGUUGUGGCUCAGUGGUAGAGCACUUGCCUGGCAUGUAUGAGGCUCUGGGUUCCAUCCUCAGUACCA